rnacentral:rRNA from 1 species
GUAGGUGGCUAGCGUUGUCCGGAUUUACUGGGCGUAAAGAGCGCGCAGGCGGUCGUUCAAGUCGAGUGUGAAAGCCCCCGGCUCAACUGGGGAGGGUCACUCGAUACUGAUCGACUUGAAGGCGGGAGAGGGAAGCGGAAUUCCCGGUGUAGUGGUGAAAUGCGUAGAUAUCGGGAGGAACACCAGUGGCGAAGGCGGCUUUCUGGCCCGUUCUUGACGCUGAGGCGCGAAAGCUAGGGUAGCAAACGGGAUUAGAUACCCCGGUAGUCCUAGCCGUAAACGAUGGACACUAGGUGUUGGUGGUAUCAACCCCGCCAGUGCCGAAGCUAACGCAUUAAGUGUCCCGCCUGGGGAGUACGGCCGCAAGGNUA